UCAGGACUCCUCAGGUCACCUUCUCACAAUGAGGCUCCCUGCUCAGCUCCUGGGGCUGCUAAUGCUCUGGCUCCCUGGAUCCAGUGGGGACAUUGUGAUGACCCAGACUCCACUCUCCCUGCCCGUCACCCCUGGAGAGCCGGCCUCCAUCUCCUGCCGGUCUAGUCAGAGCCUCUUGGAUAGUGAAGAUGGAAACACCUAUUUGGAUUGGUACCUGCAGAAGCCAGGCCAGUCUCCACAGCUCUUGAUUUACGAGGUUUCCAACCGGGCCUCUGGAGUCCCAGACAGGUUCAGUGGCAGUGGGUCAGACACUGAUUUCACACUGAAAAUCAGCAGAGUGGAGGCUGAGGAUGUUGGGGUUUAUUACUGCAUGCAAGCUUUACAAAAUCCUCCCACAGUGGUACAGACCCGAACAGAAACCUCCCUGCUGGGGUGUCCCAGCUGCUCACAUGUGCUGCUUGUCUGGGGAACAGUUCAGCAGGGUCUCUGA